rnacentral:rRNA from 1 species
GAUGAACGCUGGCGGCGUGCUUAACACAUGCAAGUCGAACGUGAGGGUGUAGCAAUAUGCCUGAAAGUGGCGAACGGGUGAGUAACACGUAGAUGACCUGCCCUGGAGUGGGGGAUAACCAUUGGAAACGGUGGCUAAUACCGCAUACAUCCAUAUUUCUGGGAAGAGAUGUGGGGAAAGCCCUGGUGCUCUGGGAGGGGUCUGCGUCCGAUUAGCUAGUUGGUGAGGUAAAGGCUCACCAAGGCGACGAUCGGUAGCUGGUCUGAGAGGACGAUCAGCCACACGGGAACUGAGACACGGUCCCGACUCCUACGGGGGGCAGCAGUGAGGAAUAUUGGGCAAUGGGCGAGAGCCUGACCCAGCAACGCCGCGUGGAGGAAGACGGCCUUCGGGUUGUAAACUCCUUUUGACAGGGAAGAGAGAGGACGGUACCUGUCGAAUAAGUCACGGCUAACUACGUGCCAGCAGCCGCCGGUAAU